rnacentral:sRNA from 1 species
CCUCAGAGAAAGUGGACUUCAGUAGUUCCUCUGACUCAGAAUCUGAGAUGGGACCUCAGGAAGCAACACAGGCAGAAUCUGAGGAUGGAAAGCUGACCCUUCCAUUGGCUGGGAUUAUGCAGCAUGAUGCCACCAAGCUGUUGCCAAGUGUCACAGAACUUUUUCCAGAAUUUCGACCUGGAAAGGUGUUACGCUUUCUACGUCUUUUUGGACCAGGGAAGAAUGUCCCAUCUGUUUGGCGGAGUGCUCGGAGAAAGAGGAAGAAGAAGCACCGUGAGCUGAUACAGGAAGAGCAGAUCCAGGAGGUGGAGUGCUCAGUAGAAUCAGAAGUCAGCCAGAAGUCUUUGUGGAACGACGACUACGCUCCACCACCACCUCCAGAGCAGUGUCUCUCUGAUGAUGAAGUAGGCAAAAUAGAGACCUGAGAUUAAGGCCUAUGAGAGGAACAAAGGAAUUCAAUGAGUUCUCCCUAAUUUAUGUCUAAAUUGUAAAUAACACCAUAGCAGAUAGAAUUCUGUGCUAAUUUUCAAUGAGUAAUCAUGGGUUCAAUCUCAGUGGCUGCCCCUUCC